CACGUAGGGCGCAAGCGUUGUCCGGAAUCAUUGGGCGUAAAGCGCGUGUAGGCGGUCCGGUAAGUCCGCUGUGAAAGUCGGGGGCUCAACCCUCGGAUGCCGGUGGAUACUGUCGGGCUUGAGUACGGAAGAGGCGAGUGGAAUUCCUGGUGUAGCGGUGAAAUGCGCAGAUAUCAGGAGGAACACCAAUUGCGAAGGCAGCUCGCUGGGACGUUACUGACGCUGAGACGCGAAAGCGUGGGGAGCAAACAGG
rnacentral:rRNA from 1 species